CGAUCGAAUUAUAAUGGUCUGUUUUAAAGAAAUUGACUGUUAGGUCUAUUAAUCAGUCGUUAGGACAAGGGUUCAACUCCCUUAUGCUCCACGUAAUAAUACUUCAACCCUAUGAGAAGAGAACUAGGAUUUUUAAUUGUGUUCUACCGUGCGCCAAGUUCUUAAAUCUUAGAACGGUAGAUACGGGGCAUUAUGGUUUUGACUGCGACAAUGAGAGAUAGAAUAGGUCAAUAAUGCGAAUAACUGGCAAUACAAGUUAUGUAACAGACUAUACACGCUUAGUAGCGUGAUAAGUCUGAACGGCUAAGCUAAUGUCGUAAAAAGCGGGAGUAAGUGACUUAGGACUGUAGGGGUUCGAAUCCCCACUUACUACAAUUAAAU
rnacentral:tmRNA from 1 species